UUCACAUUUCUUUCCGAAACAGCGACGAAAGAGCUUCCACAUAAUUAUUUUGGGAGAGAGCUCCUGGUCUGGGGAACGAAUGGGAGAAUGAGGAGGUGGGCUCGCUCGAACGGUAAUAAAUGGGAAAGAGUGGAGAGGAGGUUGUAUGAUAAUGAGGAUGCGCGCGUUUAAAAGUUUCUUCCUCACUUGACUGACACAUAUUCCAAAAAAUGUCCAACGAAAACGGUAAGUUUUUUGAUCCGCAACAUAGUUCUUUUUUUCUCAUGGAUAUUGUCUUUUCUCAGAACUCAGAUCGAGUCCGAUAUACUUUGAAAAUGCUCCAGAGUCGCCGCCGCCGAUAUCAUACACGCCAGUAUCGGAUCAGAGCAUAUUUAGCUCUAGUCCAACAUUUUUUCCAAAUGCUCCAGAGUCGCCGCCGCCGAUAU